UGGGGAUUAGCUCAGUUGGUAGAGUGCUUGCCUUGCAUGCACACAGCCCUGGGUUCAAUCCCCAGCACCAA
rnacentral:tRNA from 1 species